CCUACGGGAGGCUGCAGUCGAGAAUCAUUCACAAUGGGGGAAACCCUGAUGGUGCGACGCCGCGUGGGGGAAUGAAGGUCUUCGGAUUGUAAACCCCUGUCAUGUGGGAGCAAAUUAAAAAGAUAGUACCACAAGAGGAAGAGACGGCUAACUCUGUGCCAGCAGCCGCGGUAAUACAGAGGUCUCAAGCGUUGUUCGGAAUCACUGGGCGUAAAGCGUGCGUAGGCUGUUUCGUAAGUCGUGUGUGAAAGGCGCGGGCUCAACCCGCGGACGGCACAUGAUACUGCGAGACUAGAGUAAGGGAGGGGGAACCGGAAUUCUCGGUGUAGCAGUGAAAUGCGUAGAUAUCGAGAGGAACACUCGUGGCGAAGGCGGGUUCCUGGACAGUAACUGACGCUGAGGCACGAAGGCCAGGGGAGCGAAAGGGAUUAGAUACCCCGGUAGUC
rnacentral:rRNA from 1 species